UACGUAGGUGGCAAGCGUUGUCCGGAUUUAUUGGGUUUAAAGGGUGCGUAGGCGGCUUUGUAAGUCAGUGGUGAAAUAUGGCAGCUCAACUGUCAGGGUGCCAUUGAUACUGCAGAGCUUGAGUACAGAUGAGGUAGGCGGAAUUGACGGUGUAGCGGUGAAAUGCCUAGAUAUCGUCAAGAACACCGAUAGCGAAGGCAGCUUACUGGGCUGUAACUGACGCUGAGGCACGAAAGUGUGGGGAUCAAACAGG
rnacentral:rRNA from 1 species